UUACGGCCGUAUCAGGUUAAAACACCGGUUCCCGUACGAUCACCGAAGUUAAGUAACAUCGUGACUGGUCAAUACCUACGUGGGUGAUCGCUUCGGAAUACCAGGUGCUAUAA